CACAACAACAGCAGCACACAUGCGCACAUGCACACAUGCAUUCACGAACACACUUGUACAUGUGCUGUCUCCCCGUCUGGCCACACAACUCAGCCUUUGCUAGCAUGACUGUCUUUACCAGAUGCAAGCUAUUUGAUUCUGAACCAGGACUGUGUGCCAAAACAAACCUCUUUUCUUUGCAGUUUACUCAGGCUGUGAUAUGUUAUUAGCAACAGAAAACAGACUAAGACUGGCUCUUUCCCAGCCUUCCACUUUCCUGUUGGAAAUGUAGAUUUUUAGAAUUUAGUGUUCCCAUUUCCCUCCUAGGUAUUCAGUGCUCCAUUUUUUUCCUGUAUCAAAUCCAAGUUUCCAAAUUUCCCAAGGAAGUUACAUAUUCCUGCACCCCACAAAACUAACAGGGCUCCUCUUUUAUUGCCACUAUUUAGGCUCAGUCCUGAGAUCCUGAGACAAGUAUCUUAUUUGGGAGGUGAUCCCAGAAAAUACUGUCAGGGAAGGAGACAGAUACUGUAAGUACCGGAAGGGGAGGAGAAGGCAUCGGAGCAAUAUUACUACCCCAGGCUGACCAGUGGGCUGUCUCAAGCCCUUCUGGGUUAUCUUCUGCCUGUCUGUUUGUCUGUUUGUUUGUUUGCUUGUUUGUUUGUUUGAGAGCAACAAGUAAUUCUUGUGCUCAUGGUACUUUGUUCCCUGGUUAAUGCCUGCACGCUGUUAGCAAACACUGAAUCUUACUCCCAGGCUAGCUCCUGCCAGCCUCUAUUCACAACUUGUUACUCACAGAUCAAUCCUCAGCCUCAGCUUCUGUGUGAUUCCAUUUAAAAUCCCCCAGCACAUUGCCGGUUCACUAACGCUGCACUCGGGGUCAACGGUGCUCUGUGUCAUGCUCAGUAAUGCUUAUCCAGCACGCAUACUUUCUCCGCAGGGCAGAUCUCCGCCUUCCUGCGCAGAGGAAUGCUAGACAGCACUUCACUGUUAUCCUCAGGGGCCACUUAAAACAGGGAAAUCACACACCGGCGCACAGCAGGGCACAAAAAUGUGAAAAAUGCACCCUCAAGACACGACGGAAAUGAUUCAUUCGCCUGUUUUCAGUCCGAGAGGGAAGACGGCAGUGCUGCACCUCACCUAGGCAAGCCGAAGGGUGGGCGGGUCAGGGCAAUCAAACGCUUGGCUCUUUGUGUGUGCAUGGUAAUGGCCAAAAAGGCCCUAUCAUGAUUGAUUCUGUUUUAGUGGAGUGGGCAAAUCUGCUGAUGCCAAGACCGAUGAUAAUAAAACCAAUGAUGUGUAUUUUCACAUCUGUAAAUCGUAGAAAAGGGAAGCUAAUGGGAAAGGCGCCUGCUCACAAGAUGCCUUCUGUUUCAUGAGAUGCAACUCUUAUCGUCCUGUGGAUAUUGCCUUGCCUUGUUCUCUGGGAGGCGGAGCUCCUGCUGGGGGCGGACUGCAUGCAAAGCUUUCACUGGUUGCCUUUAUGAACUCAGGACUCAGGAGGUCUCCUCCACAGAUGCUGACCAGGACAGUGAGACAGUCAAGUAUAUCUGCAUGCGCACAGUCCCUCACACUUCCUCUGCUGGCUGUUCUUGGUUGUCAACUUGACUACAUCUGGAAUGAAUUCCAAUCCAGACAUGGAGGGCACACCUGUGAGAAAUUUUCUGCUUGGUUGGAAGUGGGUGAAUCUACUUCUAGUCUGGACCUUUGAGGUAAGAGGACACACGCUUUUGAUUGGGAUCUUGAGAUGGGAAGACAGGUGUCUUUGACGUCUGGUCUUGGGGGGGAAAGAUGCCCCUGGAAUCUGGACCAUACCUGCUGAACGUCUACGGAGGGACAUGGAAGGGAGGAAGGUUCUGCUUUUUUGCCUGCUUGCCCUCAUCUUGCUAGGAAGUCCAUUCCUUCUCUUGUAUUGUAGCUUACUUCUUCCGAAUCCCAGAGUCUAUUGAAGACCAGCUGAGAUAUCCAGCCUUGUGGGCUGAGCAACAUCUGGAUUCUUGGGAGUUCCUAUACAUAGCCCACCAUUGCUGGAUUAGUUGCAUCACAGCCUGUAAGUGAUUCUGAGAAAUACCGUGUAUGUGUGUGUGUGUGUGUGUGUGUGUGUGUGUGUGUGUGUGUGUGUGUGUGUGUGUGUGUAUGUACAUUGUUAUUCAGUCUGUAAGUCCUGCUACUUUGAGAGCUCUGACUGAUACACUUCCUUACACAUUUGCUGCUUAUGAUACGAGUGCAUUUUUAUUGUACUUUUCAGAAGUAGAACUUCUUUGGGAAGCAACUGCAUGCCACGACUGACAUGCAUAGACUAUAUGUCA
rnacentral:sRNA from 1 species